rnacentral:rRNA from 1 species
GAUGAACGCUGGCGGCGUGCUUAACACAUGCAAGUCGAACGAAGCGCUUAAGAUUGAUUCUUCGGAUGAUUUCUUUUGCGACUUAGUGGCGGACGGGUGAGUAACGCGUGGGUAACCUGCCUCACACAGGGGGAUAACAGUUAGAAAUGACUGCUAAUACCGCAUAACCCGAUAGGAUCGCAUGAUCCAGACGGAAAAGAUUUAUCGGUGUGAGAUGGACCCGCGUCUGAUUAGCUAGUUGGUGAGGUAACGGCCCACCAAGGUGACGAUCAGGAGCCGGCCUGAGAGGGGGAACGGCCACAUUGGGACUGAGACACGGCCCAAACUCCUACGGGAGGCAGCAGUGGGGAAUAUUGCACAAUGGGGGAAACCCUGAUGCAGCGACGCCGCGUGAGUGAAGAAGUAUUUCGGUAUGUAAAGCUCUAUCAGCAGGGAAGAAAAUGACGGUACCUGACUAAGAAGCCCCGGCUAACUACGUGCCAGCAGCCGCCGUAA